GAUGAACGCUGGCGGCGUGCCUAAUACAUGCAAGUCGAGCGAACAGACGAGGAGCUUGCUCCUCUGACGUUAGCGGCGGACGGGUGAGUAACACGUGGAUAACCUACCUAUAAGACUGGGAUAACUUCGGGAAACCGGGGCUAAUACCGGAUAAUAUAUUGAACCGCAUGGUUCAAUAGUGAAAGACGGUUUUGCUGUCACUUAUAGAUGGAUCCGCGCCGCAUUAGCUAGUUGGUAAGGUAACGGCUUACCAAGGCAACGAUGCGUAGCCGACCUGAGAGGGUGAUCGGCCACACUGGAACUGAGACACGGUCCAGACUCCUACGGGAGGCAGCAGUAGGGAAUCUUCCGCAAUGGGCGAAAGCCUGACGGAGCAACGCCGCGUGAGUGAUGAAGGUCUUCGGAUCGUAAAACUCUGUUAUUAGGGAAGAACAAAUGUGUAAGUAACUAUGCACGUCUUGACGGUACCAAAUCAGAAAGCCACGGCUAACUACGUG
rnacentral:rRNA from 1 species